rnacentral:rRNA from 1 species
AUUGAACGCUGGCGGCAGGCCUAACACAUGCAAGUCGAACGAGUGGCGGACGGGUGAGUAAUGUCUGGGAAACUGCCUGAUGGAGGGGGAUAACUACUGGAAACGGUAGCUAAUACCGCAUACCAUCGGAUGUGCCCAGAUGGGAUAAGCGAGUAGGUGGGGUAAAGGCUCACCUAGGCGACGAUCCCGAGCUGGUCUGAGAGGAUGACCAGCAACACGGGAACUGAGAAACGGUCAAGAUUCCUACGGGGGGAAGCAGUGGGGAAUAUUGGAAAAUGGGCGCAAGCCGGAUGAAGACAGGCCGGGUGUAUGAAGAAGGCCUUCGGGUUGUAAAGUACGUUCAGCGGGGAGGCGUUACCCGCAGAGGAAGCACCGGCUAACUCCGUGCCAGCAGCCGCGGUAAUAC